GACGAACGCUGGCGGCGUGCUUAACACAUGCAAGUCGAACGGUGAACGAGGGAGCUUGCUCCCUCCGGAUCAGUGGCGAACGGGUGAGUAACACGUGAGCAAUCUGCCCCGAACUCUGGGAUAAGCGUUGGAAACGACGUCUAAUACCGGAUACGACGCGGGAGGGCAUCCUCUCCGCGUGGAAAGAACUUCGGUUCGGGAUGAGCUCGCGGCCUAUCAGCUUGUUGGUGAGGUAACGGCUCACCAAGGCGACGACGGGUAGCCGGCCUGAGAGGGUGACCGGCCACACUGGGACUGAGACACGGCCCAGACUCCUACGGGAGGCAGCAGUGGGGAAUAUUGCACAAUGGGCGCAAGCCUGAUGCAGCAACGCCGCGUGCGGGACGACGGCCUUCGGGUUGUAAACCUCUUUUAGCAGGGACGAAGCGAAAGUGACGGUACCUGCAGAAAAAGCACCGGCUAACUACGUG
rnacentral:rRNA from 1 species